UNACCGUGAAAAAAUUAGAGUGUUCAAAGCAGGCAGAUCCAAUUUUCUGCCACCGAAUACAUUAGCAUGGGAUAAUGGAAUAGGACCCUGUCCUCCUAUUUUCAGUUGGUUUUGGCAGCGCGAGGACUAGGGUAAUGAUUAAUAGGGAUAGUUGGGGGCAUUAAUAUUUAAUUGUCAGAGGUGAAAUUCUUGGAUUUAUGAAAGAUUAACUUCUGCGAAAGCAUCUGCCAAGGAUGUUUUCAUUAAUCAAGAACGAAAGUUAGGGGAUCGAAGACGAUCAGAUACCGUCGUAGUCUUAACCAUAAACGAUGCCGACCAGCGAUUAGGAGACGUUGAAUACAAAACACCACCAUCGGCGCGGUCGUCCUUGGCGUCUCGGUCCUUCACGGGGCCGGGGCGCGGGGGCGGCUUAGCCCGGUGGCACCGGUGAAUGACUCCCCUAGCAGCUUGUGAGAA
rnacentral:rRNA from 1 species